AUGAAGUACGUUUUUCCGCUGCUGGAUCGUGACACAAGGUUUACCCUAUGGCAAGUCAAGAUGCGGGCAUUGUUGGCACAAGCCGACUAUGAUGUAGCACUGGAUAGUUUUGGGAAGAACCGAAUUAAGGACUGGACUGCUGAGGAGAAAAGAAUUGAUUGUAAGGCUUUGUCACAAACUCAACUCCAUUUGCAUAAUAAUAUUUUGCAGGAAGUUUUGAGCGAGAAAACUGCCGCCGCUCUAUGGUUAAAGCUGGAAGGGAUUUGCAUGACUAAAGAUCUCACCAGCAAGAUGCAUCUGAAGCAAAAAUUAUUCCUGCACAGGUUACCCGAGAGAGGUAAUGUUUUGAAUCAUAUUUUAGAAUUUAAAGAGAUUAUAUCUGAUCUAGCUGCAAUGGAGGUUAAGUAUGAAGAGGAAGAUACUGCUCUAAUGUUACUUUUUUCACUGCCAAGUUCUUAUACCAAUUUUCGAGACACCAUAUUAUACAGUCGUGAUACUCUCACACUUAAUGAAGUUUAUGAAGUUUUGAACUCUAAGGAGAAGAUGAAAUUAAUGGUGCCUCAUGAUGGUUCAAGUUCAUCCCAAGCCGAGGGAUUAUCUGUUCGUGGCAGGACAAAGGAGAAGAACUCACAUAAUGGAAACAGAGGCAAAAGUAAGAACGGCUACAGGGGCCGGUCACAAUCCAGAGACAAGAAAUAUUGCAGAUCUUGCAAGAGAGACGGGCAUGACAUCUCAGAGUGUUUCAAGUUGCAGAAUAAAGAAAAGAGGAAAGGUAACAAACCAGGUGAAAAUUCUGCUAACGUUGCUCGUGAUGAUAGUUCCGUUGAUGCUCUUGUCGUUAUUGCUGGAUGUGCUGAGACCAAUGAUGAGUGGGUACUUGACACCGCAUGCUCUUUUCAUAUGUGUCCCCAUAGAGAUUGGUUUAAUACUUUUGAUUCCACUACUUCUGCUGGUUCCGUUUUGGGUUUUGAUAAUUCACCAUGCAAGAUUGAAGGCAUAGGUUCUAUUCGAAUCAAGAUGUUCGAUGGCAUAAUCAGAACUUUGACAAAUGUUCGGUACAUUCCAAAGAUGAAGAGAAAUCUUAUCUCUGUUAGUGCCCUUGAUGCAAAGGGAUACAAGUAUUCAGGUGGAGAUAGUGUUUUGAAGGUCACCAAAGGCUCCCUUGUUGUGAUGAAAGGUGACUUAAGUUCGACCAAUGGUCUUUAUUACCUUCGAGGUUAUACCGUUUCAGGUAACGCUACUCCAGUUAUUUCAAAGAAUUCUGAUUGUGAUGCUGCUAACCUUUGGCAUAUGCGUCUUGGACAUAUGAGUGAACUUGGUUUAGCAGAGUUAAAUAAGAGAGGUCUUCUUGAUGGAUAUGAACCUGAUAAAUUGAAAUUUUGUGAGCAUUGUAUCUUCGGCAAGCACAAGAGGGUGAAGUUCAACACUUCGACUCAUACAACCGAAGGUAUUCUUGAUUAUGUGCAUUCUGAUUUAUGGGGACCAUCUCGCAAGAAGUCACUAGGUGGUGCUAGUUACAUGCUGACUAUAAUUGAUGAUUAUUUGAGAAAAGUUUGGCCUUAUUUCUUGAAGCAUAAAUAUGAAGCAUUCCCAGCAUUUAAUGAGUGGAAGAUUAUGAUUGAAAUACAAACUGAAAAGAAGGAGAUCCAAAGAUUUGGCAAAGCCGAGCCCGACGACGUGGAGGCAGGGGCGAGCAGGAGCAGGGGAACUGAGAUGAGUCCCGUGGAGCCCGCCGACGUGGAGGCAGUGCUGAUCUCGAAGGUCCGUCCGCAGCUCCGUCGCGUGGAUGAAGACGCAUUCACGCCGCAUGGCAUGGUGAUUGGUCUUUACAACCAUGGUAAAGGUCUUUCUAAAUGGACCGAAAUGAAGGAGCAAGCCGUCCGCGAUAUUAUGUCUCUCGAUCAAGCGGGCGUGCUUAUGGUGGAGCUGCAGAAUCUGGAGGACAAAGCAAGGAGGUGCUAUGACGAUGCGCCCGACCGCUGUUUGUCGUCGAUGCAGUUCUCCAAUAUGCUGCUGCACGAUGGCUGCUAUCUGCUCUCUCUCUUUUUGGAUUAUGGUGCACGAUCUGAGCUGGACAACAACGCCCCGCAGUACAGAUAUAGAUAUCCCGAGAGCGCAGGCCGCAGACUCUCCCGGAGCGCGUUGGUGCGCGACACCGUGUUUCUCGUUGAGAAUCAGAUACCUUUCUUUGUGCUUCAGAAGAUCCACGACGUCGUCACAGGAGGCAUCACCCAGUUGACAGUCAUCCAAGAACUAGCAGUUGGUGUCCAGGAGCUUCUGCAGGCACAGCGCUUCAUCAGCGAGGAGCUGCGGCUGCGGCGGGUGCCUCCGUCGACGUCCCACUUACUGCACCUGGUGCACGCCCACUUUCAGCUAAAUAUGCCGCAGAUAAUGGUAAAGAACAGGACAUGGAUCAAAGGUCGGUGGCGCCGUGCGACGGAGUACAGCUGCUACGGCAACCUGCGGUUCAAGCGUAAGGACUUCAUGGACGGCAUGGAGUCUUCCAUCCUGGACGUGAGGUAUCAAGAAGGUACGCUGUGGAUCCCUCCCCUGCGGAUCGACGGCAACACUUUGACGAUCCUACGUAACCUCAUGGCGCUGGAGGAGGAGGAGCAUAUUCCACACCGGACCGUGACGGCCUACUGUGUCUUCCUGUCGCAGCUGGCCGGCACGGUGGAGGAUGUCAAGCUCUUAGUUGCCGCCGGGAUCAUCGAACCAUUCCUGUCAAGUGACGAGCAGGUGGCUCAAGGCAUCGCCAACCUCCAGAACGGGGUAUUGUUGGGCGACGUGGAUGACAUCUGGGAAAACUACCUCAAUCCCGUUUGGCACGUCCUGGACACGCGCUGCAACAAUUGGAUGACCAGAUUCGUGGGAAAGUGUAACAACAUUUUCUAA
rnacentral:rRNA from 1 species